rnacentral:lncRNA from 13 species
CGGAAUGACCUACAAUGCAAUACUCAGUACACCAACUUGUUCUGGGUACCACUAAUGCACUUAAUUUUUUAUUUUGUAUUUCCUCACAGUGAAGGGCAAGGACUUCCUCCUGUUCCUCAUCUUCUCCAUGUUGGUCCAGGGCCCCAUGACCAACACCCUGGAAAACUUUGACCGUGCAGCGGACAGCGUGGUGUGUGGGGCCGAACCUGCCACGAGCCAGACCCAGCAGGUACGUCUGUGGGCCAUGCUUAUUCUAGCACUGUCAUUAUUUGAAGACACUGUUAGUACAGUUACUGUAUCUAACAAUUUAACUCUCCAAAUUAAGCCUUCCAUUGAUUUCUGUGCCCUCUGCCCCCUGUUACAGCUCGUUCCCUGAGAAACGUGUUACACUUCCUGGUCGGCAUUGGCGAGUCUCAGUGUACCUGACGGCCAGGGAGCGGUGGACGGCUGCCCUCAGCGCAGUGUCCAUUCUCAGGCACAUAGCCAUAGGAUGCCUGGGGUGGCGCUGGACCUGGUGGUCUUCUGGAUGUUUGACCUGGUGCACUACCAAGCCCAGGGGGACAUCGUGGCCAGAGCACCCCAUCGUAUUGGCAGUGGAAGUAAAUGGCACAGGCAAUGCCCUGGACAUCUUCAAGGACAUAGCAGCUGCCUUCGCCAUUCUGCAGAAGGGCAGCAUCACUGUUCUCAGCAAGAAUUGUCUGAUGAAGCCUUCAGAGCCAGACCACUCAGGAUACAUGCUCAUAGGAGCGGGUGCAGCUCUUCCACAUGAGGAUUCCGUCUCUAGGUAAAGCCCUGCUGAGGUCUGUAGCCAGGAAUAGGGCAGAAGGAGAGGGACCCAGAUUCCUCCAGACACUCACAACCUGGUAAAAUGAAUGUCAAUUUCACCUAAAUCUCCCAUUCUUGAAGUCAUUUCUCAUCUUUUCACCAUGUUAGUAUUUUAACUAGUGCAUUUUUUUUUUGCCCAUGCAAAUCCAAAAUAGUACAGGACUGUAACACAUUACACAUAUUUAUAGUGGAUGUGUGUACAGAAAGCUUUGACACAUCACUAAUGUUAUUACAGCAACUCGCCCAAGCCUUCCCCAUUUCUCCUUCUCCCAAAUCCAUUCAGCUGAUGUUCUGAGCUGCAAAAUCUGGACCCCUACAAAUCAGCCGGGCUAGACAAUCUGGACCAAUUCUUUCUAAAAUUAUCUGCCGAAAUUGUUGCCACCCCUAUUACUAGCCUGUUCAACCUCUCUUUCGUGUCGUCUGAGAUUCCCAAAGAUUGGAAAGCAGCUGCGGUCAUCCCCCUCUUCAAAGGGGGGGACACUCUUGACCCAAACUGCUACAGACCUAUAUCUAUCCUACCAUGCCUUUCUAAGGUCUUCGAAAGCCAAGUCAACAAAUAGAUUACCGACCAUUUCGAAU